rnacentral:RNase_P_RNA from 2 species
CCAGUCGGCCGGACGGCCGCUCCCGCUCGCGGGGGAGGAAAGUCCGGGCUCCACGGAAACACGGUGCCGGAUAACGUCCGGCGGGGGCGACCCCAGGGAAAGCGCCACAGAGAUCGAACCGCCCGCAGCUCGCUGCGGGUAAGGGUGAAAAGGUGCGGUAAGAGCGCACCGCGGACCCGGCAACGGGGACGGCAUGGCAAGCCCCACCGGGAGCAAAACCGAAUAGGGACGAUGCCUUCCGCGCGAGCGGGAGGGGGCCUGUUUCUGGGCCUUGUCGUCCGGGUUGGUUGCUCGAGGCGCGCAGCGAUGCGCGUCCCAGAGGAAUGGCCGUCGCGCCGGGGGAGCGAUCUCUCGGCCAUCCAGAACCCGGCUUACAGGCCGGCUGGCACC